AGCCACACUGGAACUGAGACACGGUCCAGACUCCUACGGGAGGCAGCAGUGGGGAAUAUUGCACAAUGGGCGCAAGCCUGAUGCAGCCAUGCCGCGUGUGUGAAGAAGGCCUUCGGGUUGUAAAGCACUUUCAGCGGGGAGGAAGGCAAUAAGGUUAAUAACUGCUAUUUGACGUUACCCGCAGAAGAAGCACCGGCUAACUCCGUGCCAGCAGCCGCGGUAAUACGGAGGGUGCAAGCGUUAAUCGGAAUGACUGGGCGUAAAGCGCACGCAGGCGGUCUGUUAA
rnacentral:rRNA from 1 species